CCUACGGGGGGCUGCAGUGGGGAAUUUUCCACAAUGGGCGAAAGCCUGAUGGAGCAACGCCGCGUGUGUGAUGAAGGUUUUCGGAUCGUAAAGCACUUUCGACCGGGACGAAAAACCUCUGGCUAACAUCCAGGGGCCUGACGGUACCGGGAGAAGAAGCACCGGCUAACUCUGUGCCAGCAGCCGCGGUAAUACAGAGGGGGCAAUCGUUGUUCGGAAUUAUUGGGCGUAGAGCGCGUGUAGGCGACUUGAAAGCCCUCGGCUUAACCGAGGAAGUGCGUCUGAAACUGCAGAGCUUGAGUGUCGGAGAGGAUGGCGGAAUUCCGCAAGUAGAGGUGAAAUUCGUAGAUAUGCGGAGGAACACCGGUGGCGAAGGCGGCCAUCUGGACGACUACUGACGCUGAGACGCGAAAGCGUGGGGAGCAAACAGGAUUAGAUACCCCAGUAGUC
rnacentral:rRNA from 1 species